GGUGGCUCAGUGGUAGAGUGUUUGCCUCGCAUGCAUGAGGUCUUAGGUUCAAUUCCUCAGCACCA
rnacentral:tRNA from 1 species